rnacentral:lncRNA from 1 species
GAGUUUUUAGAUUUUAGAUUUAACAGGUUAAGGUUGAAUAUAUCUUAUCUUUAAUGGUUAUGAGAUCAUAGAUUAAUGCUUUUUUUCUUUUUAAAAGAUAAACAUUAUGAAUGAGGAAAAAGUUAACAGAGUAAAUAAAGCUUUUGUAAAUGUACAAAAGGAACUUGCACAUUUCGCAAAAAGCAUUUCACUUGAACCUCUGCAGAAAGAACUGAUUCCUCAGCAGCGUCAUGAAAGCAAACCAGUUAAUGUUGAUGAAGCUACAAGAUUAAUGGCUCUGUUGUAAUAUACUGGUGAUGCAUCUAAUUCUCCACAAAGACCAAUAAAUUGAAUGUUUUAUACAA